rnacentral:rRNA from 1 species
CACGUAGGGGGCGAGCGUUGUCCGGAUUUAUUGGGCGUAAAGAGCUCGUAGGCGGUUUCGUAAGUCGGAUGUGAAAACUCCAGGCUCAACUUGGAGACGCCAUUUGAUACUGCGAUGACUUGAGUCCGGUAGGGGAGUGUGGAACUCCUGGUGUAGCGGUGAAAUGCGCAGAUAUCAGGAGGAACACCGGCGGCGAAGGCGGCACUCUGGGCCGGUACUGACGCUGAGGAGCGAAAGCGUGGGGAGCAAACAGG